GACGAACGCUGGCGGCGUGCCUAACACAUGCAAGUCGAGCGAAUGAAGUUCCUUCGGGAACGGAUUUAGCGGCGGACGGGUGAGUAACACGUGGGCAACCUGCCUCGUAGAGGGGAAUAGCCUUCCGAAAGGGAGAUUAAUACCGCAUAAGAUUGUAGUACCGCAUGGUACAGCAAUUAAAGGAGCAAUCCGCUAUGAGAUGGGCCCGCGGCGCAUUAGCUAGUUGGUGAGGUAACGGCUCACCAAGGCGACGAUGCGUAGCCGACCUGAGAGGGUGAUCGGCCACAUUGGGACUGAGACACGGCCCAGACUCCUACGGGAGGCAGCAGUGGGGAAUAUUGCACAAUGGGGGAAACCCUGAUGCAGCAACGCCGCGUGAGUGAUGACGGCCUUCGGGUUGUAAAGCUCUGUCUUCAGGGACGAUAAUGACGGUACCUGAGGAGGAAGCCACGGCUAACUACGUG
rnacentral:rRNA from 1 species